rnacentral:rRNA from 1 species
GAUGAACGCUGGCGGCGUGCCUAACACAUGCAAGUCGAACGGUUCCGGAAGGUGGAAGUAACAUUCCGGCUUUCGGGAUAGUGGCGGACGGGUGAGUAACGCGUGGGCAACCUGCCUUUCACAGGGGGAUAACACAGGGAAACCUGUGCUAAUACCGCAUAACAUAUUGGUAGGGCAUCCUACUGAUAUCAAAGGAGAAAUCCGGUGAGAGAUGGGCCCGCGUCCAAUUAGCUAGUUGGUGGUGUAACGGACCACCAAGGCGACGAUUGGUAGCCGAACUGAGAGGUUGAUCGGCCACAUUGGGACUGAGACACGGCCCAGACUCCUACGGGAGGCAGCAGUGGGGAAUAUUGCGCAAUGGGGGGAACCCUGACGCAGCAACGCCGCGUGAAGGAAGAAGGUUUUCGGAUUGUAAAACUUCUUUGAUGAGGGACGAAGGAAGUGACGGUACCUCAGGAACAAGCCACGGCUAACUACGUGCCAGCAGCCGCGGUAAAACACGAGAGUAA